AACGAACGCUGGCGGCAUGCCUAACACAUGCAAGUCGAACGAGACCUUCGGGUCUAGUGGCGCACGGGUGCGUAACGCGUGGGAAUCUGCCCUUGGGUUCGGAAUAACAGUUAGAAAUGACUGCUAAUACCGGAUGAUGACGUAAGUCCAAAGAUUUAUCGCCCAAGGAUGAGCCCGCGUAGGAUUAGCUUGUUGGUGAGGUAAAAGCUCACCAAGGCGACGAUCCUUAGCUGGUCUGAGAGGAUGAUCAGCCACACUGGGACUGAGACACGGCCCAGACUCCUACGGGAGGCAGCAGUGGGGAAUAUUGGACAAUGGGCGAAAGCCUGAUCCAGCAAUGCCGCGUGAGUGAUGAAGGCCUUAGGGUUGUAAAGCUCUUUUACCCGGGAUGAUAAUGACAGUACCGGGAGAAUAAGCACCGGCUAACUCUGUGCCAGCCGCCGCGGUAAGAC
rnacentral:rRNA from 1 species